rnacentral:rRNA from 1 species
GAUGAACGCUGGCGGCGUGCCUAAUACAUGCAAGUCGAGCGAACAGACGAGGAGCUUGCUCCUCUGACGUUAGCGGCGGACGGGUGAGUAACACGUGGAUAACCUACCUAUAAGACCGGGAUAACUUCGGGAAACCGGAGCUAAUACCGGAUAAUAUAUUGAACCGCAUGGUUCAAUAGUGAAAGACGGUUUUGCUGUCACUUAUAGAUGGAUCCGCGCCGCAUUAGCUAGUUGGUAAGGUAACGGCUUACCAAGGCAACGAUGCGUAGCCGACCUGAGAGGGUGAUCGGCCACACUGGAACUGAGACACGGCCCAGACUCCUACGGGAGGCAGCAGUAGGGAAUCUUCCGCAAUGGGCGAAAGCCUGACGGAGCAACGCCGCGUGAGUGAUGAAGGUCUUCGGAUCGUAAAACUCUGUUAUUAGGGAAGAACAAAUGUGUAAGUAACUAUGCACGUCUUGACGGUACCUAAUCAGAAAGCCACGGCUAACUACGUG